AAUAAAUUUUUUAUGGUUUAUAAAUUUUAUUUUAAGUUUAUUUUACAUGUAAAUUUUAGUGUUAUAUAUUAAUUAUUUAAAUAAUAUUUAAUUUUUUCUUGCAGUAAUUAAUUUUAAAAAUUUAAGAAAUUAAGAUUUAGUAAUAUUUAAAUUAAUAACUAAUUUUGUGCCAGCAGUUGCGGUUAUACAAAAAUUAAUUUAAAAUUUUUUAGUUAUUAAUAAUUAAUUAAAUUAAUAAUUUAAAUUAAAAAUUAUUAGGUGAAAUUUUAAUUUUUUAAAAAAUUAUUUUAUAAUUAUGAAUUAAUAAAUUUUAUAAAAAACUAGGAUUAGAUACCCUAUUAUUAAAAAAUUAAAUUAAAAAUACUAAAAUAGUAGGUAAUUUAUUGAAACUUAAAUAAUUUGGCGGUAUUUUAGUUUAUUUAGAGGAAUCUGUUUAAUAAUUGAUAAUCCACGAAUAAAUUUACUUAAUUUAAAAUUUUGUAUAUCGUUGUUAAAAAAAUAUUUUUUAAUAAUAAUAAUAUUUAAAAAUUUGAAUUAAAAAUUAAAUCAGAUCAAGAUGCAGAUUAUAAUUAAGAAUAUAAUGGAUUACAAUAAAUUUAUUUAAAUUGGAUUUUAAUAUGAAAAGAUUAAAUGAAAUUGGAUUUAAAUGUAAUUUUAUAAAAUUUUAUAAAAUGAUUAAUAAUUAAAAUAUGUACAUAUUGCCCGUCGCUUUCAUUUAUAAAUUGGAAUAAGUCGUAACAAAGUAGAGGUACUGGAAAGUGUUUCUAGAAAGAU
rnacentral:ncRNA from 1 species